AAUUUUAAAAUACUAACGAAAAUUAUUUUUAAUGACAGACUGAAUCUUCUUACAUUGUCAAAGAGAAAGUAACAUUCUAAACUCUGAAAUUGCUAAUAGCAACAAAUUUGACUAUGAAAAUGUAAAACUAAAAUAAAUAAUAGCUAAGAAAAGAAUUUGGAAAAAUAUUUGAAUCAAGUGGAAUGAAACAUGAUUCAUCCUAAAUAUAUAGUUUGUACAAAUUAAUAAGAAAUACAUAGAUUAUAAUAAAUAUAUGAAGGACAUGAUUAAAAUGGUUCACUUAAGAGGAAAUAAAUAGAUUUUCCAUCUUAUUUAUAAACAAGUGCAAAUUGAAAUGAGGUACCAUUUUACUUCACUGCCUGUUACAAUGGAAAAUAUAUGUUACGAUGAACAUCUCUAAGAAGACUGUGUUGAACCUUAUACUCUCAUACAAUGCCAGUGACAUUCUAAACUACUAAUCACUGUAAGCAUUUGUAUCAAGCAAUAAAAAUUUUCAUAGCCUUUGCUACAAAAUUUGUAUUUAUAACAUAUAUAUGUUACAUGACAGUCCAUAGCAUGUUAUAAAUACAUAUAAAAAUAAAUAUGUAUAAAUGCAUAUUUACAUGUAUUUAUAACAUAAAUACAAGAGUAUGUUAUAACAUAAUACAAUACAUAAAAUUUAUAUUAUGUAUUAUUACAUAAUACAUAAAUAAUACAUAACAAAUAAUACAUAAUAUUUAUAACAUAAAUACAAGAGUAUGUUAUAAAAACAGUAUAAAUCAUAAGUGCAAUUAUUCAUUACAAAUUUCUAUAACAGUUAAAAAUAUUAGAAACAUCCUAAAUAUCCAUAUUUAAGGGUUUAGAAAAUUAAGCAGCAUAGACUCACGUGGAUUUAUAUGAUAUUGAGAAUACUGUGUACAGUCUAAUUACAGAUAUGACUUUGAAACAACUGUGUAAAAAAUGUGAAGGAUAUCUAAAAUGGAAUAUUUAAAAAUAGAAAAUCUAAAAAUAAUAAGAUUACAAAUGAAUACUUUUGAAAAUAUCCUUCACUGGCUAAGUUUGGUUGUGUAGCAGGUCCAAGAUGACUACUUCUCUAUUCUGUAAUGUGAUUAGAUGGCUUUUAUGAUUAAAAAUAAAAAGGCAAAUACAAUUUACUUAAAAUGUUAAGAUUCUUUGUACAGAAAAAUUAAAAUUGGAAAAAAUAAGUUACAAGAACUUAAAUAUAACCUGUAAGGGGGGCAAAAAGAAAUCUACUCUUGAAAACAAUUUAGCCUGAAGCAUUGGAUAUUUAUUUAAAGUAUCUCCUCUGUUCUCAGGCUUGUGCUAAUCACCCUGAUGGGUAGAGAGAAGCUCCUCCUCGCCCUGAGAAUUUCAUAAUCCCAUGGGCAAGGCAAGACAGAGCCACGUAACAGUCGCCCUGGUGGCUCCAGCAGUGCAGAGAGAGGAAGUCCUAUUAGGGAUGGAGGUCAGAGAAGGCUCCCAGGGGUGGGAUGUGUACACAGCCUGUAAGGGUGUGUUUCUAUUAGUUGACUUGUGUGUGAUCCUGUGGGGAGUCCUCCUGAAGGGUGAAAGAGCAGUCUCGUGCAGUUGGCCUUGGUCACUGAAACCGGGCUGGGCACCCCGGGAGGCCAGGCCCAAGGCAGUGUCCCUGGCUCUGACCUUUGCUGCUGCUUCCCAUCCAGACAAGUUCAGUAAGGCCCACGGACAGCACCCGGGCCUCAGCAGAGAAAAUUCAGCAUAUGCUGUGGGCCACAGACUUCCCUUGGGUGUGAGAUGAUGGCCCAGGAAGCAAGUAGCUCUGUGUUUUUUUAAAUGAACAACCUACUUCUACUUCCCUUCAACCCCCUUCCUAUACUUCCCUCUUGGUCUGCUUGCCCCAUUCUUUGUUUUCACCUGGUGGCUUUUCUGCUGUUCAUCUCUAGCUUUCAGGAUCACUCACACUCUCUGAGCCCCAGACUGACGUGCGCCCAAGGGGGUAAAGUCCAGCAAUACCGGGUCUGUCUCUGAUGGUCUCUGGGCUCUGGCAGGCAAGCACUGCCCCUGCUAGCCUUCUAGGGGAGGAGGCUGCAGCCCCCUACUCCACCCCGGAUGUGGGCACCACUCACCAGCAACCACAUGCUCAGACAUUAGAAAAAAGGCUCUGGGGUGGGUCUUCAGGGGAAAACCAAGCCCAGAGGCCGAAAUGCCUGUGAAGGGAAGGUCCAGACCAUUCAUUCCCUAGCCUCUUCUCUUCCCUGUGCAUCUUGUAAUUGGUGUGGGAAAAAUUCUUGACAGGUGCAGCCUGAACACUGCAUACCCAACUCUCUGUGAGCUCUAGGACCAUUUUCUUUUGAGAUGGAGACUCACUCUUUCACCCAGGUGGGAGUGCAGUGGCUUGGAUCUCAGCUCACUGCAACCUCUGCCUCCCGGGUUCAAGCGAUUCUCCCACCUCAGCCUCCUGAGUAGCUGGGACUGGUGUGUGCCACCAUGCCUGGCUAAUUUUUGUAGUUUUAGUAGAGACGGGGUUUCACCAUGAUGGCCAGGCUGGUCUCGAUCUCCUGACCACAAGUGAUCUCCCCGCCUCAGCCUCCCAAAUUGCUGGGAUUACAGAUGUGAGCCACUGUGCCCGGCCUCUAAGUCCAUUUUCCAAAUCCUUCCUGGGGAUCUCCGUGUGCUAGAGGGACCCCAAGUGAGGGUGACCUUAUGUCCCAGUUUGCCCAAAAUAGUCCUGGUUUAUGGCCCAGGUUAAUUCUCAUAGUGCCCCUUUCACUCUCAGAAACAUCCUGAUUUAGAUGAUAAAUUAUUUCAUGACUCUACCUCAAACCAACAUCAAACUGAACACAUACGCACAUGCGCCUCACUGUUCUUGGCAGUUAAGGGGACAGUGUCCAUAUGGUCCCUAAGCGGAGAAACCCCAGGCUUAUCUUUGACUCUUCUUUGUGAGACCUAUGAUGCUACAAUUACCUCCUGAAUACAUCCUCUCCUUUCUGUUCCCACUGCUCAUGAUCUAUUUCAGACACAAAUAAUUACAACCUACUGUGGGGUCUCCCUGGCUUGAGUCUCUCCCUUCUCCACAGUUCUGCCAGUGAU
rnacentral:lncRNA from 1 species